rnacentral:rRNA from 1 species
UACGUAGGGUGCGAGCGUUAAUCGGAAUUACUGGGCGUAAAGCGUGCGCAGGCGGCUUGCCAAGUCAGAUGUGAAAGCCCCGGGCUCAACCCGGGAACUGCGUUUGAAACUGGCAGGCUAGAGUUUGGCAGAGGGGGGUGGAAUUCCACGUGUAGCAGUGAAAUGCGUAGAGAUGUGGAGGAACACCGGUGGCGAAGGCAGCCCCCUGGGCCAAAACUGACGCUCAGGCACGAAAGCGUGGGGAGCAAACAGG